rnacentral:ncRNA from 2 species
UACGUAGGGUCCGAGCGUUGUCCGGAAUUAUUGGGCGUAAAGGGCUCGUAGGCGGUUUGUCGCGUCGGGAGUGAAAACUCAGGGCUCAACCCUGAGCGUGCUUCCGAUACGGGCAGACUAGAGGUAUUCAGGGGAGAACGGAAUUCCUGGUGUAGCGGUGGAAUGCGCAGAUAUCAGGAGGAACACCGGUGGCGAAGGCGGUUCUCUGGGAAUAACCUGACGCUGAGGAGCGAAAGCAUGGGUAGCGAACAGG